CUCUUAAGGGGAGAUCAACAGUCCUCAGCUUUCUGCCUCCCACAUAACUGCCUCUGCACUUCUAGAGGAAUCAUGGAGGAGCAGCAGCCGAAGGAGAAGGUGGCAGACGUGGACCUGAGCAGCUUGGACAUUGUUCUAAGCAGAGAUUAACAGUCCUUAACUUUCUGCCUUGCACAUAACUGGCUUACCAAGGGAAAAGAAAUCAGGCGUCAGAGUCUACUCCCUUCAUACUUUGGAAAGUGAGCAAAAGUGAUCGGACUGCGAGAGCUAUUGAUGCUAUGGAAAAGCUGUCCAACUGGGAGUGGAACUGCUGCUGCUACUCAAUA